rnacentral:rRNA from 1 species
AGUGAACGCUGGCGGUAGGCCUAACACAUGCAAGUCGAACGGCAGCACAGUAAGAGCUUGCUCUUACGGGUGGCGAGUGGCGGACGGGUGAGGAAUACAUCGGAAUCUACUUUUUCGUGGGGGAUAACGUAGGGAAACUUACGCUAAUACCGCAUACGACCUACGGGUGAAAGCAGGGGAUCUUCGGACCUUGCGCGAUUGAAUGAGCCGAUGUCGGAUUAGCUAGUUGGCGGGGUAAAGGCCCACCAAGGCGACGAUCCGUAGCUGGUCUGAGAGGAUGGGGAGCCACAAGGGAACUGAGAAACGGUCCAGACUCCAACGGGAGGAAGCAGGGGGGAAUCUGGGACAAGGGGCGAAAGCCUGACCCAGCCAUACCGCGGGGGAGAAGAGGGCCGUCGGGUGCUAAAGCCUUUUUGUGGGGAAAAAAAAAAGGCGGAUGAAAACCCCGCGGUCCUGACGGUACCAAAAAAAAAAGAACCGGAAAACUAGGUC